UACGUAGGGUGCGAGCGUUAAUCGGAAUUACUGGGCGUAAAGCGUGCGCAGGCGGUUCGUUAAGUUCGUUGUGAAAGCCCCGGGCUCAACCUGGGAACUGCAAUGGAAACUGGCGGGCUUGAGUGUGGCAGAGGGGGGUGGAAUUCCGCGUGUAGCAGUGAAAUGCGUAGAGAUGGGGGAGAACACUCGUGGCGAAGGCGGCCAGCUAGACCAGUUCUGACACUGAGGCGCGAUAGCGUGGGGAGCAAACAGG
rnacentral:rRNA from 1 species